CCUAUAUAGUUUGGUUUCUCCCCUCACUCCUGGCCAGAUCAUUGUCUCUUCUCUCCUGUUUCCCUGGUUCCUGGUUCCCUGUGAUUCUGGCUCCUGACUCCUUGAUCCUGCAUACUGUUCCUUGGUCCUGUGUCCUGCGCUCCAGGUCUUCGUUCCUGUGUUCUCCUGGUCUUCGUCCUGUGUCCUCUUGAUCCUGCGUUAUUGUGUCCUCCUGGUCCUUCGUUCCUGUACCCUCCGAUCCUGUGUUCUGGUUCCGUGUUCUCGGCUUUAUUACCAGUGAUCCUG